CCUACGGGAGGCAGCAGUGAGGAAUAUUGGUCAAUGGACGAGAGUCUGAACCAGCCAAGUAGCGUGAAGGAUGACUGCCCUAUGGGUUGUAAACUUCUUUUAUAUGGGAAUAAAACAGGGUAUGCAUACCCUCUUGUAUGUACCAUAUGAAUAAGGAUCGGCUAACUCCGUGCCAGCAGCCGCGGUAAUACGGAGGAUCCGAGCGUUAUCCGGGUUUAUUGGGUGUAAAGGGAGCGUAGGUGGAUUGUUAAGUCAGUUGUGAAAGUUUGCGGCUUAACCGUAAAAUUGCAGUUGAAACUGGCAGUCUAGAGUACAGGAGAGGUGGGCGGAAUUCGUGGUGUAGCGGUGAAAUGCUUAGAUAUCACGAAGAACGCCGAUUGCGAAGGCAGCUUACUGGACUGCAACUGACACUGAGGCUCGAAAGUGUGGGGAUCAAACAGGAUUAGAUACCCGUGUAGUC
rnacentral:rRNA from 1 species